AGGUUUGUAGCUCAAUGGGAGAGUCCUUGUAUAACCGAGGGGGUUCUUGGUUCGACUCCAAGUAAGCCUG
rnacentral:tRNA from 1 species